UCCGUGGUCUAGAGGUAACGUACUAGCCUCGAAAUUUCGAGGCCCCGGGUUCGAUUCCCGGUCGAGGAA
rnacentral:tRNA from 1 species